CAGCGACGCUGAUGCGUUGUUGGGUAGGGGAGCGUUCUGUAAGCCUGUGAAGGUGGCCUGUGAGGGUUGCUGGAGGUAUCAGAAGUGCGAAUGCUGACAUAAGUAACGAUAAAGCGGGUGAAAAGCCCGCUCGCCGGAAGACCAAGGGUUCCUGUCCAACGUUAAUCGGGGCAGGGUGAGUCGACCCCUAAGGCGAGGCCGAAAGGCGUAGUCGAUGGGAAACGGGUUAAUAUUCCCGUACUUGGUGUUACUGCGAAGGGGGGACGGAGAAGGCUAUGUUGGCCGGGCGACGGUUGUCCCGGUUUAAGCGUGUAGGUGUGUGUUCCAGGUAAAUCCGGUUCACUUUAACACUGAGGCGUGAUGACGAGGCACUACGGUGCUGAAGCAACAAAUGCCCUGCUUCCAGGAAAAGCCUCUAAGCAUCAGGUAACAUCAAAUCGUACCCCAAACCGACACAGGUGGUCAGGUAGAGAAUACCAAGGCGCUUGAGAGAACUCGGGUGAAGGAACUAGGCAAAAUGGUGCCGUAACUUCGGGAGAAGGCACGCUGACAC
rnacentral:rRNA from 1 species